CUCUUCUGUGGUAGGAAAAAAAGCAAAACAAAACAACAACUUAAUAGUAUGCGCGACGAUUAAACGUAUAAAAUUACAUUUUAAAGCAGUUGAACGUUGAUUGCAAAUGAUGCCUGUUUUGUUCAAGUUUUUGCAAGAAGAUUAUAAUUUUUUUUUUCACUAAUUACCUAAAGUUUAAGUAAGAAAAGUUUCCAAUCUCAACGUAAUCCAAUUGUCAUUAAAUGAAAUUUUCUUUAAUGGAUAUUUAAGUGAUGGAGAUUCAAAACUUCUGUUAUGAGACUUGAGCGCAUUUUGGUUUCAGAAGGUUGACGACUUUUGAUGAAAAUAUUAAAAAAUCAUCUUCACGAAAGGAUUUACGAAAUUAUUUUAACCAAAUAUGUCUUAGAGCAUUUGCAUAUUCCUUCUACCUGUGGCUUCAUAUCAAGUACAUAUCUUCAGCAUAAAGAUGAUUUUUGAAUUACAAAAGCUUCAUAAGUUAAUAUUAUAUCAUAUCAUAUCAUAAAAACAAUUAACAAAGUAAAAAUGAGCAAAAUGAACAUAUUUACUACCUUCGAAAGCAAACAGAAAGUCAAACUUGCAUAAAGAUAACAGCAUUAGUUGAAGUUUUAAUGCAGAGGAUUUUGCUUUUAAGCAAGUGUCACAAUGAAGAAUGACAAUGAGAAACAACUCAUAAUUUUACAAAGGCAUGCACAUUAAGCC